AGAGAGGCUUUUCUCAAAGCCAUUAAAAUAAUGAUGAUAAUUAUAG
rfam:Sarcophilus harrisii ctg7180001679668, whole genome shotgun sequence.